ensembl:lncRNA
GGGGACGUGGGGACGUGUGGGGGCACGUGGGGAUGUAUGGGGACGUAUGGCGUCAGAUGGGAACAUGGGGACGUAUGGGGGCAUGGGGAUGUAUGGGGACAUAUGGGGUCAGAUGGGGGCACAUGGGUGCAUGCGGAUGUGUGGGGACGUGGGGAUGUAUGGGGACGUGGGGACGUAUGGGGUCAGAUGGGGACGUGGGGACGUAUGGCGUCAGAUGCGGGCAUGGGGACAUUGGGACUUACGGGGUCAGAUGGGGACAUAUGGGAGACAUAUGGGGUCAGAUGGGGACAUAUGGGGACAUAUGGUAUCAGAUGGGGACAUGGGGAUGUAUGGGGACAUGGGGACAUAUGGGGUCAGAUGGGGA